AAACCAACUGGGAUUACCUUAGUAACGGCGAGUGAAGCGGUAAAAGCUCAAAUUUGAAAUCUGGUACUUUCAGUGCCCGAGUUGUAAUUUGUAGAAUUUGUCUUUGAUUAGGUCCUUGUCUAUGUUCCUUGGAACAGGACGUCAUAGAGGGUGAGAAUCCCGUUUGGCGAGGAUACCCUUUCUCUGUAAGACUUUUUCGAAGAGUCGAGUUGUUUGGGAAUGCAGCUCAAAGUGGGUGGUAAAUUCCAUCUAAAGCUAAAUAUUGGCGAGAGACCGAUAGCGAACAAGUACAGUGAUGGAAAGAUGAAAAGAACUUUGAAAAGAGAGUGAAAAAGUACGUGAAAUUGUUGAAAGGGAAGGGCAUUUGAUCAGACAUGGUGUUUUUGCAUGCACUCGCCUCUCGUGGGCUUGGGCCUCUCAAAAAUUUCACUGGGCCAACAUCAAUUUUGGCGGCAGGAAAAAUCUUUGGAAUGUAGCUACCUCGGUAGUGUUAUAGCCUUUUGAAAUACUGUCAGCUGGGA
rnacentral:rRNA from 1 species